GUUGGUGUUUGGGGAUGUCUAUGGAGCUGUUUUCCUUCCUAAACAGGUGGAGAUCGAAAAAUCCCAGGAUGUGGACCUGAAAUUCCAAGUUCCUGAUGUUGAUAAAGCUUAAAAGUGUUUUAGAGAGGUAGCGGGAGGAGACGGACGGUUAGCACCGGCGGUAUAGUCGAGCAGCGAAUCAAUCUGAAUUUGGUAAUUUCUAUCACAUAAAUUCAAUUUCAUAAUUCUAGGGUUUCCACCUUUUUCCCAAUUUCAUGAGAUAAACAACACUUUUUUGAAUUGCUAAUAAUCAAGUCUUAUGGAAAUUCUGUUUAUAUACUCAUUUUGGGGGAUUUUAUUUGUUGUUUGAUUCAUCCCUUCCUGGGUUUUUUCUAAUUUUUUUAUGGUUUUUGCUUAGAAAAACGUGGCCCUCUAUUUUUCACUCAAUGUCCGAUGAAAAUAGGGUUGUUGGUUAUCGAUUGUAAUCCUCAUAAGUUGACGAAAAAAUGUCAAAUCUUCUACUCAUUUCUCCUUCAAUCAACUUAUUAUGGACUCCAAAAUCUGUCGUCAAUAAUCAUCAGACGUCGUUAAUUAAUCAGAAAUUACGCAGAACAGUUUCAAUUAGAGCUUUCUUUUUCAAUCCAUCUGACGAACCAAUUCUCAAGGAAGC